rnacentral:piRNA from 1 species
UGGUAUCUGUUGACCCCAUUACAAGGGAGU